rnacentral:lncRNA from 1 species
GAAGAAUUUGUACAUAUUUUAUUCAAGAGAAUGCCUUGUAGUAUUUUGUAAUUGGAGGUCGAAAGCAAACUCGUAGUACUUUUAUUCGUAUCUCAUUUUUAUUUCUAUUUUUUUAGGUGGGAACGAUCUAUAAUCUCUUGUGUGUUUAUUUUAUUUCAUUGUGUUUUACCUAAAUUUAAAUGUUUUAAAAAGCAAACUAGAUCGAAUACGCAAUCGUGACCUUCACAGGACUUGGAAAGUGUCUCGCACCUUCUCCCCGAGUCAAAUGAGCUCCUUUAUCUAAAUCUCUGGUGUAGACUUAGUUUUAGAGUCCAAACUGUUUAAAAAGAAAAAUUAUUUUUAUAAAAUGGUUACCUGACACAUCGACACUAACGUCAGGUGGUGACUCUAAGUUAAUCCUUUUGAAUAUAAAUUUUGUCACUUUAUAAUUGAAAACUCUUUUGAGCUUUGCAAAAUUCUUUUAUUUAUUUAAGAGGGGUUAGUGAGGUUUGAUAAAAAAAAAAGGGGGGGUGUGACAUCCCUGGCGACUCUGUUGGGGAAUUGCAGUUUCGAACUAGUACUUGACUUUGUUUGAUUUAUUCGAUUGAGGUUUUUUUAUGUUUUAUUUAUUUGAUUUAUUUUUGUUUAUGUCACAUUAUUUGCUAGUUGUUUUAUGUGUUUAUAGUUUUUCCUUUAUGUGUUACUGCUUUAUAAAUAUCAUCAUAUGUAUUACUCGAUCAAUUAUUUUUGCAACAGGUCCGGAGUACGCAUCGCGUACAUGGACUCUUCAUUGAGUCACCCUUAUUUUAGGAGGGGUUGCCGGAUGUAUGGAGUUUAUGGAAAGCUUGAGCAGCCACCAUCGACCAUACUCUCUCCCAAAUCGCUUUGUUAGUUAACUCGAAUCUUAGGUCAUCCUUUAGGUCAUUCUUAUUUGCAUCAUGUCAUUUAAACCUAGUAGGGUUCGAUCCUAGGUACGGUGCUCCGUCGUAGGAGGUGUAUUCAAAUUUUGUCAAAAAUGGGCAUGUGACCCAAAAUGAUAUUUAAUCAAAUUAUGUACUAAAUGUUACAUCUGUGAGUGUAGAAAGAUCAUUUAGCGGAUAUGUUUUGAAAAGAAGGGUGAAAAAUAAGGCCCGAGUAUAUUUUUAUUUCACAACUUUCUCAAGAACAAUUGAAAAACCCAAAAAAAAUAAGAAUGAGAAAUUCAAAAAGAUUUUACAUUUUCCAUUAUUUUUCCAACAAAAAAAAAGACAAAAAGUAUUGGUUUUUUAAAAUUAGUUGCAUAUUCCUGAACUACGCGAAUCUGAUUCUUGUCUUUUGAGGUACGAUAUCAACCCACAUAGGUUAUGGUCUUCAUAGUAAGUCUUAGGUAUUUGGCUUUGCAGGGCUUAGCCAAAUCUUGCAUAUCCAGCCACUUUUUGCCACAUCGAUCAUUCUUGCAAAAUGGGGUAAUUUUCGUGAAAGUUUCAAUAAACCAUGUCUUAGGAUCCAGAGUCUACAACUAGGAGUCAUAUUACUUUAAGUUCCGUCCUUAUUGAGUUUGCAUCUUGCCACUUCUGACCAUAUCAGUCGUUUUUGAAAAAAUGGGUUAUUUUUGCAAAUUAAUUUUGGGCCAUGAUUAUUGGACAUUUGAAGCCAUAUAAGCCUUGGUGAGACAUUUUCCAUGCCUUAGAGGUCAGUCGUUUUGAGUUCACAUUUCUAGCCACCCUGGCCACAUAUGUCAUUUUGCAAAAAUAGCCCAAUUAUGUUUUCCAUGUAUCUAAUAGGAGAUAUCAUGGUAUCUUGAUUCACUAAUCUAUUUGAUCCUACUUUUCUCAUUCAUGUGUGGAUCCAUGUACGAGGACUCGAGCAUGACAUUUACCCCAGGACAAUUGCAUUCUGGAGCUACUUGAGGAGACUUUUUAUGUUUUGAGCCUGUUUUUGAGUCUUUUGGAUGGUUUAAGAGUUUAU